GUCGAGAGAUCCUGCGCCGAAGAUGUCCGGGGCUAAAACUUACCACCGAAGCUAUGGAUGUGUCGUAAGACACGUGGUAGAGGAGCUUUCUAUACAGGUUGAAGCCAUACCGUAAGGAGUGGUGGACAGUAUAGAAGUGAGAAUGCUGGCAUAAGUAGCGAGAAACAGGUGAGAAUCCUGUUGGCCGAAUAUCUAAGGUUUCCUGGGGAAGGCUCGUCCUCCCAGGGUUAGUCGGGACCUAAGCCGAGGCCGAAAGGCGUAGGUGAUGGACAACUGGUUGAUAUUCCAGUACCACCACAAUGCGUUUGACAAAUGGGAUGACGCAGAAGGAUAGGAUGUGCGCACUACUGGUUGUGCGUCUAAGCACUUAGGAUGUUGAGUAGGCAAAUCCGCUCAACGUAAAGUCUGAGGUGUGAUGGGGAGCCAAUCUUUGGCGAAGUAUCUGAUUCCAUGCUGCCAAGAAAAGUCUCUAUGGAGCAAAGUGGUGCCCGUACCGCAAACCGACACAGGUAGAUGAGGAGAGAAUC
rfam:Clostridium colicanis DSM 13634 CLCO_contig000077, whole genome shotgun sequence.